AAUGCAAGCCGGCUUAUCGCCCAUCGCCAAUUGACGGUGGGAGGAAAGUCCGGGCAACACAGAGCAUCGUACUUCCUAACGGGAAGGUCCGCCAAUUGGCGGAACAGAUAGUGCCACAGAAAACAAACUACCUUGGCGGUUUCCGUCAGGGAAAAGGUGAAACGGUGGAGUAAGAGCCCACCGCCUGCGUGGUGACAGGCAGGGCACGGCAAACCUUACGAGUUGAAAGGCCAAAUAGGUCACGCCCAUGAAAGUGAUUAGCGGCUCGCUAAUAGGUAACGCUGGCGUGAUUGGGUAGGCUGCUUGAGCCGUACUGCGAAGUACGGACCAGAUAAAUGAUAGGCACUCCGAUUUAUCGGAGAACAGAACCCGGCUUACAGGCUUGCAUUUACU
rnacentral:RNase_P_RNA from 1 species